rnacentral:rRNA from 1 species
UACGGAGGGUGCGAGCGUUAUCCGGAUUCACUGGGUUUAAAGGGUGCGUAGGCGGGCAGGUAAGUCAGUGGUGAAAUCUUCGAGCUUAACUCGGAAACUGCCUUUGAUACUAUCUGUCUUGAAUAUUGUGGAGGUAAGCGGAAUAUGUCAUGUAGCGGUGAAAUGCUUAGAUAUGACAUAGAACACCUAUUGCGAAGGCAGCUUACUACGCAUAUAUUGACGCUGAGGCACGAAAGCGUGGGGAUCAAACAGG